CCCUUACCUGGGCCUUGUUAGUUUGAUUUACCCCUCCCUUGCUUGAAUUCCUCAAAUCCCAGCAGCCUUUUACAACAGCCUGACACAGAUAACAUGGCUGCAGUUAUUUUAUUCCUUUGAUAAAGGUAAAGAGCAGCGAAUCUGUAUCUUUAAUAACAAGGAAAGAGAGAAAUGGCUUCUGCCUUAUUCCUACCACUUCUCCUUGCUUUGAGCCAAACAGUCUCUUCUAUCCUUCCUCCAUGGUUUCUGCAGUUGGUGUGUACUGAGUUGUGUCUGGCCAAAGGCAUUGUGUGUGUGUGUGUGUGUGUGUGGUUUUCUGAAAUAUUUAGGGAUUUUUUUAAUUAAAAAAAGUGUGGUCAUUUGCAGUACCUAAAUAAGAGAGAGCCCAAUGGACAGUAGAGAAAUAAAUGAAUGCCUACUAAUACCAGGCCCCAUCUUUCAAAAUUUGAGGAAAAAGAGAUAUGAAAUUGCCCUUUUAGCUAGGAAUUAAUUUAGUGGGGGAUGUGUAACCUUACAAUAGCUUUAAUCUGGGUAUAUCUCAGAGAGAUUUUUAAAGCUUACUUUGUCUACUAGGCCUGCAGUCUGAGCCAAUCUGUGUUUAGAGUACUUGGAAUGAGUAAUGAGAGCAAUGAGACUUGCUCCCAAGUGUGCACUGGAUUGCAACUUUACUGCGCAAUUUGGGCCCUGAGUCUUCCUCCCACCCCACCUAACCAUCCCAAUUCACACUGUUAUUUCCUAAGGAUUUCUCACAAGAUCCAGACAUUCCCUCAUAAAGUGAAACAACUGAGACUGUUGGUAAGCUUCAAAUCUGUCACUCAGCCAGGAAGCUUGCUGAGUUGAUCCUGAGUCACUCACCACAUCUUAGCCUAACCUACUUCACCAGGUUGUUGUGAGGGCAAUAUUAUGUGGUGGGAGCCAACUACCACCCUAAGCUCACUAAGUCUGUUAAAUAAUGUAAUAAACAAUAACUGGGUUUCUCCAAAGCUUCCUUACUAUAGGAAUAAACAUAUAGGCCUCCCUUACAAGCCUGUUGUAAGGAUUAUUGCGACACUUUGAGCACUUAAGAGGAAAGCCCUGUAUAAAAUCUGUCUGAUUAUAUAUUUUUAUUUUAGUCAGGGAAAGAUUUGUUGUUUAUUCCUAAAACAUUAUUUUAUUUAUAAUAUGCUUUUAAAUUAUUAUCUCGUUUACUUCAUUGCUUAGAACUUCUUAUAAAUUUAAUGCAGGACGGGCAGAAGUCCAAUAAAGAUAGAUGAGUAUUGCAGUUCCCCUUCUAUCUUCCUCCUCAUUUGUUUUACUUAGAUAGCAAAGACUGAAGCUCUGUCCCUCCUACUGACAGAAAAACUGAGAGAUAAAAGGGGAUUUAAAUGCCUAGCAAGUCAAUUGAUUUGGGUGUUCCCAGCCACUAUCCAGCUGCUGGGAAUAUAAAUAGAGCUAAAGGACUAGAAAAUGAUAAAUUGCUACAUUUCAUUUGCUAUAUUUUUCUGGUAAGAAUUUUUUUUAGGGCUGUUUUCCAAUUUCUGAGCCAAAUCUCUCCUUUGGGUGCUCUAAAAGUGAGCUAAGCUUUGCUACUUAGGAGAGGAGCCCCUCCCCGCAUCUGCAUCUGAAGGCUCCCAUAAUUUGGCUCAGUCAUGGGCUCUCCAUUGGGUGGGGGUAAGUGUGUAGGCACAAAGAAAGGUCCCAAGAACCAAGAUUACACUUUAAGGGCUUAUUGGGGGUGCAUGUGUGUGUGUGUGUGUGUGUGUGUGUGUGUAGAGAGAGAGAUUCUGAAAAGAACACUCGGUUUUCACAUGGAUUGUUUAGAAUUUCUGAUGAAACUGCAGAAAUGUCAAUGCAGAGUAGGAACAGCCAAUCAGAAAGCAGCUCUUUGACCUUUGCCCUUCUCUUCCUCAGCAGGACUGCUAUUAUCUUCAAGGGGGGAGAGCCCUCCUUGCCUCUUGUUAUACCUUUUUUAUGAUCUAGGAUUGUGAAGAUAAUAAUGACUCCAUGUUACAUAAAACAGAUACAUUAAUGUCACCAAGUCCCAAAAGUAUGGAAUCAACCCAACUCCUUCAGAAAGACUGGGGGGAGGGGAGUGAUAGAAAUUCAGAGAGCAGAGCCUUAAUAAGGCCGAAAGAAGAGAGGUGCUGCCUUAGACCGCUUUUUCCUUCCUAUUUGAAAUGGGAUAUUUAAAGGGCCCUUUGGCUAAAGGAGAUCAGAGUCUUGGCAAGAUAACUGAGUAUGACUGAAUGCGCUGCCAUCAAAGUGAACAAAUCAAAUGUGUGAUUUUGAUUCGUGCUGUAGAGUGUUAGCCUAUUACACUCACUUGCUACAGCCCCAGCUACUAAUGGGGGAGAGGGGGAGGACAUACCCAGGCACCCACCUUUCAUCUGGGGGAUGCUUCUCCCCAGGCUUGGCUCUUUGGUGACACGGCUUGUUUGGCCUCAGUAGAGUGUAGAUUGUGAUCCAGCCCUCCCCACACUAGAAACCCAUUGGCUUCUCAUUUGUUGGAUGUCUGAAUCCUGGUUUCUGGGGUCACAAGUAGAAGAGAAUAUAUGUUGUGGCAGCAGCAAAUUCCACUAAUAUUUUUAUAUGAGGAGCUAGUGCUGCCUCUUGAUCCUGGCUGAGAUAGAGUGCCUGAUCGACCAGCAGUGUAUUUUCCAAUGUAUCCUGCCAUGCUACAUCUUGAGAGGACAAAGGAAACGAGAAGCAGUCUUUGUGGUACUCCUGCAUAAGGCCUGUUCCACAGCCUGGAGAUGACUUGUUCCUCUUGCCUUGUUUUUAUGUACAAGUGUCUAAGAAGGAGCCCCCACCCGAAAGGCUCUUUUCUAACAUAAAUUCUGCUUAAGGGUCCUCCCUUUUGCAUCUUAAUUCAGUUAUACUAAGCAGGUGGGCGUGUUAUGUUCCAUUCCUGUCUGAAUUCCAAACUAAAUUCCAAACUAGCUUUGGUCAUCUUGAUAGAUGUCUUGAACAGGGAACUGGAUAGUGGGAAUGCAACCACCUUGAUUUUACUUACUGCAUCUCUCAGUGGCAUUUGACACCAUUGAUGACCAUGGUAUCUUUCUGUCUGAACUGUCAAGCCUGGGCUUAGGAGGCAUAGUAUUAUUAUGUCUCUAGUCCCUUCUUUAAAUUCAGUACCAAAACAUAGUUCAGUACCCCGCCCCGUUGCCUCUGGUUUGUGGAGUGCAACAGGAUCCAUCUUAUUCCUCCUAUUCUUCAACAUCUAUAUGAAGCUCCUAGGAGAACUCAUCCAUCGGAUUGGGUUUCAGUGUCAUCAAUAGGCAGAUGGCACACAUCUGUACCUUUCUUUUCCACCUAAGAAUCCCAGGGGAGGCUGUGGAACUCUUGAAGAGCUGUCUGAAUGCACUGCUGAGAUAAAUAUGGAAGAAAACACUGAAACUUAAUAUGGAAAAGACGGCGGUUCUAUGGGUUGAGAAGUCAGCCUGUCUGGAUAGUGAUGUGAAACUGGUUAUGGAUAUAGUUACAUGAAAAUAGGGGGGGGCAACUUGAAUAAAAGAUGGGGGGAGGUAAGCCCUGCCCUUUUUAAUCGAUCACAUGAUGCAGUACAUGCACACAAUUUGAAUGGCAAUGCCCAUCAACUUGGGGGGCCUCGCCCCCUCAAUUUUUGGGGGGUGGAGCAAAGGCCUCUCGGCCCCCAGGAGUUGGCUCCUAUUCAUGAAAAUUGCAUUGAUUACCAGUAAGUUUCUGUGCUCAAUUGAAAGUCCUGACCAGGAAUCCAGCUAUCUAAAGUAGUACCAUCAUCCAUAUAAUCCUGCCCAUAAACUAAUAUCUGGGGUGUAUGGGGUGUUUGUUAGCGGAGGGGUAGUACUCUGGUGAGGGACACAUUGUGCUCCUUCUGUGGUAGUUUAUACAGCUUUGGUCCCUAACCUGUACUCAGGUUUGACUUGUGACUGGCCUGCCAAACCAGGUGAGGAUAGCCAGUAUGUCUCAAACCCUUGAUGAGUUAGGAAUUUCUCCUGCAUGUGAAGAUCAGCUCUGGUGGAUUGAGCAUACUAGACCAAUAGUGGGUCCAACAAUCAAGAAGGCAGCAACUGUACAUGCUGUAGAGGAAAAAAUCUGUACCCACUGCCUUGUAGGACAUCUUUGGGAAAAGAAAAGGCUAAGGCAGAGCUUUCCAAACUGUGUGUCGUGACAUGUUAGCGUGCUGGCUGCAGUGUGUAGGUGUGCCACGUGAAUGCUCCCCAUGCUCCUCCCAGGGCUGGAAAGGUAUUAGAUUAACUUCUGGUUUGCUAGCAAAACUGAAUUACUGUGUCAUGAAAUGAUGCAUGUCUAAAAAGUGUGUCACCAACAUGAAAAGUUUGGAAAGCUCUGGGCUUAAGGAAUAAACCCUACAUAAAUCUUGUAUCCUCCUUCCGGCAACUCCUGCAGCCAAGCUGGUGCCAAAUGUAUUGCUCUGAUUUUAUUUGGAUGACAUCUGCAAGGCCAAGAGGGGGGUCUUUUCAUCUGGGCACCCCAGGACCUCCAUAUACACUGCCCAGUCUUGCUUCCUGGAGAGGUCACUUCAGUGCUGCAAGGGGCAGGCCUUGGUAAUAUGGUGCCCUGUGUGAGGCAAAAAAUUGACACCCCCCACAGCCCUCACACUACUUUCCCAAAAGCCGAGUAAGCAAGGUGCUGAACUUUGUGAGUGCUCUGGCAGGGUCCUAGAGCCCUCCUUCCUCCUUCCCAAAGCUGGGUGAGCAAUAACUAGGCUUUGGGAAGGAGGCAGGAAAGUGUUCUCUUGGCUCAGCACUCUGUGUGGGGAAACUAGUUGUGCUGUCCAAAAUCCACCUCUGACGCUGCUAACGCAGAAAAACAACAACAUUGGAGGCAGCAGUUAUGAGUUACCGGUCCCUGUAGCCACAGCGAUUUGGCUUCGCCUUCAGAGGCACUCUCCGUUGUUUCUCAAGACAGAUGGAUGACAACCAAACUAAUAUCUGUUUCAGGGGUCUUUCUUGAGAGCUUGCCAUUAAGUUGACAUAUACAAGAGGAAGGGCUUCUCACUGGCUGUCCCCCAAAUUUAGAACUUCUAACUGAUAUACAUCUUGCUCCUUCACUACAGGCCUUUGGCAGGCCUGAAAUUCUCUUCACUGCUGCAUUUACCUAAGACCCAAAGUAGUUGUGUAUUUCAGAACAGCAAGUUCAGAAUAAUUUGUACCCUUCUCUAACGUGACCACUAUAUCUCCACCCAUGUCUCCUUCUUUAUAUGUAUCUCAUUUUGUAAAGUGUGGCUGUAAAAAUUGGCUUUAAAAUAUUUUAAAUAAAUAAAAUGCUGCAACCUGGUGCCCAGUUCAACAUGAUACUGAUCUGACAGGCAGCAUGAAACCCUGCCUGCGGGCAUUUGUAAAGCUAGAAGAGGAAGGGAUCUAUUAUUAAUGGCAGAAAGUGAGGUGAAAUCAGGGCAGGGAAAUAACAUGAGCCAUGAUUAGUGCACAUUAUUGAAGAGGCCCAGGAGUUGUUACCUUUUGGAUGCACAGAAGCCACAGGGAAAGUGUCAGGCUGCAAGAUCCACCACAACUCUUUCCUAUUUGCUGAUUAAUAACACUCAUUAAUUAGAAGAGCACAUAAUGGGAUUGCUAAUUGCAACUGAUGGAAGUCCCAUCUUUGCUAGAAACAUUCUGGAUUUGGCGCAUCAUAUAAUCUCCUUGUCUUUGAUUUUAUCUGUAGCAAAAGAAGAAUGCAGAGAAAGGGAGGCAGAGGCGGGGAGUCAGAGGAAAACCCCAAGGAUAAAUGUAAUGGAUGGCAAAGUCUCUUUGAACUUAUGUAUACAAACCAGCCCAGCUACUAUCCUCAACAUCCUCCUGAAGGCCAGAAAGCCAUAAAAAUUUCCAGACUCUGAGCAAUCAUGAGAGGCAUCAAGUGCAGGACAAACUCUUAUUGUAAUGCUUUGGGAAGAAAGAGAGAAAAAUCCUUAUCCUGAGCACACAGCCCCAAUUGUAAAGCAGGC